rnacentral:rRNA from 1 species
UCGGGAAUUUUGGGCAAUGGGGGAAACCCUGACCCAGCAACGCCGCGUGAAGGAUGAAGUAUUUCGGUAUGUAAACUUCGAAAGAAUAGGAAGAAUAAAUGACGGUACUAUUUAUAAGGUCCGGCUAACUACGUGCCAGCAGCCGCAGUAAUACGUAGGGACCAAGCGUUGUUCGGAUUUACUGGGCGUAAAGGGCGCGUAGGCGGCAUGACAAGUCACUUGUGAAAUCUCUGGGCUUAACCCAGAACGGCCAAGUGAUACUGUCGCGCUAGAGUGCAGAAGGGGCAAUCGGAAUUCUUGGUGUAGCGGUGAAAUGCGUAGAUAUCAAGAGGAACACCUGAGGUGAAGACGGGUUGCUGGGCUGACACUGACGCUGAGACGCGAAAGCGUGGGGAGCAAACAGGAUUAGAUACCCCCGUAGUCCCUGAGCGGGCUGGCAAGGCGCAU